AACGAACGCUGGCGGCGCGCCUAAUACAUGCAAGUCGAGCGAGAAGACGUAGCAAUACGUUUGUAAAGCGGCGAACGGGUGAGGAAUACAUGGGUAACCUACCCUCGAGUGGGGAAUAACUAGCCGAAAGGUUAGCUAAUACCGCGUACGCUCCUUGGACUUCGGUUCAGGGAGGAAAGCGAUACCGUGGGUAUCGCGCUCUUGGAUGGGCUCAUGUCCUAUCAGCUUGUUGGUGAGGUAACGGCUCACCAGGGCUUCGACGGGUAGCUGGUCUGAGAGGACGAUCAGCCACACUGGCACUGCGACACGGGCCAGACUCCUACGGGAGGCAGCAGUAAGGAUAUUGCGCAAUGGGCGAAAGCCUGACGCAGCGACGCCGCGUGGGGGAUGAAGGUCUUCGGAUUGUAACCCC
rnacentral:rRNA from 1 species